AUAAAAUGAACGGCGUAUUGAUUAUAGAUAGUGUCAGCACAUUGCUCUAUAUAGUAGGAAAACUGAACACUAGGUCUCGAUAGACCAAUAGAAAAACUCACUUGAAUUGUAUAUAGAGAAAGACUGAUCUCUCAAACACAGCGAGUUGUUGCCAUAUCUACCCAGAGUUUCUUGGGAUUACUUUGUUGGCCACUACUUCACAAGCUUGUCUUGAGUCUGGACAGGAAGCCUGAGUGUCUCUGGAUGCCCCGCUGCAUUUGGUCUGGAAACCUUAUUGUAUUUGAUUUGGAAGCCUCAGUAUAUAUGGCACUGAAACUUUGCUGUAUCUAAUCUGAAAGCCAUACUGUAUCUAAUCUGAUAGUCAUACUUUAUCUGGUCAGUAAGUCUUAUUGUAUUUGGUCUGAAGCCUUACAGAGUGUUUCAAGAUACCUCAGUGUAUGUCUGGUCUGGAAACCUCACUGUGUCGAAGCAUAACUUAAUGUCUGAAGCGAGGAAGCCUCCGCGUGGAAGCUCCCUAAGCUCCAGUAAGGUGUUCCACAGGAGCGUAUAAUGAAAACUUCGUACGUGCUGCUGCUGCUUUAGUCUAGCCUUAAAAUGCAGACCUGUGAAAGUAAGUACCUCGUGCCUCUAUAUGGAGGCUCUUUGAGCGUGAAGGCCUCUUGGUCCGAGAAACUGGAGUCUAUUUGGUCUUUUUCCCCUCUUCGGAUCAAACCAGAAUGCAACCUCCCCUACCCCUUUGAGAUCUUGCCUUAUACUGUGGUGAUUCUUUAAUAUUCAUUGAAGUUGUGGUUUUGUGAAAUGCGACUAGUAAACUUUGAAUUGAACAGCUGGCAGUGUGAUGAUUUUUGCAUCGUUGUAACAAGUGUCACACGAUAACAACAAGUGGAUGAACGACGGCGUAAACCGAAAAGUAUUGUAGCGAGAAAGAUACUGCGGCGAAACCUUUCUCGAUGCGUAUGAUCCAACACUGAACUUUAUCAAGUAUUUCUAUCAUACUUGACAAAGUUUAGUCGUGGUAAAGGUUGCUCUGCGAACAAAGUCUCUCACUUAUGAUAGCAAACGCUUUAGUUACGAGGAUUAUUGGUAAUGACAGCAGCAACUUAGUACUGUUAGUAGGUUUUCUAAGUGCAGGGCCCUGAAAGACCUCUGCAAGCUUGUGUUUUUCGAAUUCCUGCACGGAAUACCUGGUGCAGUGGGUGGCCAAGGUUGCCUUCACUCCUUACCAGGGCUGGUCACCGUACAACUCCAGGAAAUUCAGUCGCUGUCUGGUAACCUUAAACACUGAACAGUUGUUCAUUGCAUCACUUAGUCUGUUAAGCUGUAGUGGCACAGUGGAAGAGAAAGCACAUACACAACACACACUCAGUUUCACUUUCUCUCUCUCUCUCUCUCUCUCUCUCUCUCUCUCUCUCUCUCUCUCUCUCUCUCUCUCUCUCUCUCUCUCUCUCUCUCUCUCUCUCUCUCUCUCUCUCUCUCUCUCUCUCUCUCUCUCUCUUGUACACACACACAUCCUAUUAAUAUAACGAGUGGAAAUUGUGUAGUAGUUUGGCAUAUAAGAGACAGGAUUGGAUCAUGUAAAGAACAUACUAAUACAGUUCCACUGGAGGAAAAAAAUAGAAAUGAAUUGAGUGGACAUGCACGCGGUUUAUGCAAGUAAACAAAGUAUAAUUUGUUUCAAUCUCAGGUGCAGUGGAGAUGUCUGAGCCAGAGUGAAAAAUGUCAGGCGUGGAAGUGAGGGCAGUGAUAAAGGGGAGCAAUAUAAUGGAGCACAACAUGACUUAUCGGAGAGAAGGCCACCUGUUGCUCCAAUUACACCUGCCUUCCACCCACUGAUGCUCUUGACGCUCUUAUGCUCCUGUAAUGUCUGUUCAUGUUCCUGGUGCCUCGUUAAUGCUGUCGCUUGCUGCUGCUGCUACUUGUGCUAGGGGUUAAAUUAUUGCUGUUGCUGCUGCUGUUAUUGGUAGUAAUAAUAUUAGUGUUUAAAUCAUUGCUUUUACUAGUACUGCUGCUGUUAUCUGUAAUAUUAAUGAUGUUAGUGUUUUAGUUAUUGUUGCUGUUGUUAAUGGUACUAAUGAUAAUAAGUCUUAUGGCAAAAUGUAAACCUUCAUUAGGUUUUCCUUAGGGGCCAAGCUUUUAGUAAGUCUGUCCACAAAAAGAAGCAUUGGUGUAUAUAGUCGGGAGAGCAGAUGACGAGGAGGCAUUAGGUGCAAACUCCGUUGUGAGGUAUGAAGUGAGGUGUGUACUGAGGAUUAUGUGAGUCAAGGAUCCUGUUGAACACCGGAAGUCAUCAGCAUCACCUGCAACAACAGUGGGUUAGUUUAAAUAGACCAGACUGGACACCUCUUGAUUAUAAUCUUGGGUAAAAAAAAAAUAUUGAAUUAGCACAAACUAUCUUCGGCUGUCUAACAAUACAUGAUACUUCUCAACUCUUCCAUAGAUUAAUGAAGCAAACAUCACACAUAAAAUUGACUAUCCAUAUAAACCAAUAUGAAUAUAAUCGCCACUCAGAACCCUCUGCAAAUUUAAACCAGUCUAAAGGCCAGUGAAGCCCGGAGCAGAUUCCCAAGUUUGCAUUGAAAAUUGUAUUGCAGCACCAAACCUCACAACUCACCUGUGAGUUAUAACAUGAGCCAUCAGGCUUAUCGUAGUGUUCUCUACAGCCCAACAGAUGUCUUACGCUUAGUCUUGUCUGCUUUUGUGUGUGUGUGUACGCGUGAGUGUGUACUUGUGUGCUUGUUUUUGUAUGUAUGUAAUAUAAAUGAUGUUAGGGAUGAGCGUCCUAGAUGAAAUUACAAUAUUGUGUAAGUGACGAAUAACCGGAAUGUGAGAGGCCAUUGAUUAGUUUAACAGGAUUUUAGAAAAGUUUGAGUUCAACUUUCCUAAAACGAACAACUGUUUCGUGUGCUUGUUAAUACUGAUUGCAGUUAUAUUGCUUUCUUUACUAGCCGUAGAUUUUUUAUUUAAUAUUUUAGGUAAUGUUAUUUUUUUGUUUUCGAAUGUGCCUUCUAUAUAUGCAUUGUACAUUCCAUAACAAGAGAACAACAUCACGCUUGAUUUUAUGUGUUAUGCCCAUCAUGCUACAGUGUAUGUAAAAUUAGCGGGUUCGUUACAUAGUAUACGACCUGGAUAAUUUAUAGCUUUUGUGGUAUUGACGUAUUUAUAUUUAUAGCGUUAAAUGGUGCCAGUUGGGCAGAAGGUUUAUAAAAACAAACCAGAUUCUUUGUUGAAUGCCAUGUAAACACAUCCUGUUGUAAUUGAUGACUGUCGAGAGAAUGCAGCUGAUCCUAUGCGCAGUAUUUUAAUCAUCAUCACAGAUAAGUGAAGUUGUGUCCAGCAAUAACCUGCACACGUUGACCAUCAACGGUGACUGCACCGCAAAGCUUGCUGAAAUCUUGUGCAUUGUAUUUGAUAAAUGUGAAUUGAUAAGCGGCGUGCUGGAGCAUUGUUGAUUUCCAGAGUGGAAGGGAUGGGGUGCACUCCUGUUUCGCAAGGAAAACAGACAGCAGGUUAUUAGGUUCUGUAUUUAGAAGACUGGAAACGAGAGAGGAAAAUGAAGAGGUUGGUAUAUUGUAUGAGUUUAGGAUCUGAGGAAUAAACAUGUUAAUUAUUUAAUAUAGUCAAAUCAUCGAUGAGGAACUCGACGUGAUGGGUGUUUACUUUUGGCGAAUUCAUUAAUAUUAAUGUCACUUGGGUGUUUUGUUAUGCUGAAGCCACAUAUAUUGAUGUAACUCAUGUUUUGUUACGCUGAAGUCACAUAUAUUGAUGUAACUCAUGUUUUGUUUUGUUAUAAAAUUAUUAUUCAUCUCUAAAAGUAAUUUUGGUUGUCAUAAAGUCAACAAGUUUUUUGUCGAAGGCAGCCAAAUAUACAGUAAGGUUGACUGGGAAG